rnacentral:rRNA from 1 species
GAUGAACGCUGGCUGCGUGCCUAAUACAUGCAAGUCGAGCGAACGGACGAGAAGCUUUCUUCACUGAUGUUAGCGGCGGACGGGUGAGUAACACGUGGAUAACCUACCUAUAAGACUGGGAUAACUUCGGGAAACCGGAGCUAAUACCUGAUAAUAUUUUGAACCGCAUGGUUCAAAAGUGAAAGACGGUCUUUCUGUCACUUAUAGAUGGAUCCGCGCUGCAUUAGCUAGUUGGUAAGGUAACGGCUUACCAAGGCAACGAUGCAUAGCCGACCUGAGAGGGGGAUCGGCCACACUGGAACUGAGACACGGUCCAGACUCCUACGGGAGGCAGCAGUAGGGAAUCUUCCGCAAUGGGCGAAAGCCUGACGGAGCAACGCCGCGUGAGUGAUGAAGGUCUUCGGAUCGUAAAACUCUGUUAUUAGGGAAGAACAUAUGUGUAAGGAACUGUGCACAUCUUGACGGUACCUAAUCAGAAAGCCACGGCUAACUACGUG